rnacentral:rRNA from 1 species
GUGAGGAAUAUUGGUCAAUGGGCGAAAGCCUGAACCAGCCAUGUCGCGUGAAGGAUGAAGGUCCUAUGGAUUGUAAACUUCUUUUGCAGGAGGGUAAAGUGAGCUACGUGUAGUUCAUUGCAAGUACCCUGCGAAUAAGCAUCGGCUAACUCCGUGCCAGCAGCCGCGGUAAUACGGAGGAUGCGAGCGUUAUCCGGAUUUAUUGGGUUUAAAGGGUGCGUAGGCGGACUAAUUAGUCAGCGGUGAAAUUUUGCGGCUCAACCGUAAAACUGCCGUUGAAACUGUUAGUCUUGAGUGCGGUAGAGGUAGGCGGAAUGUGUGGUGUAGCGGUGAAAUGCUUAGAUAUCACACAGAACACCGAUUGCGUAGGCAGCUUACUGGAGCGCAACUGACGCUGAGGCACGAAAGCGUGGGGAUCGAACAGGAUUAGAAACCCUGGUAGUCC